GCCAGGUUGGCGCUAGUGACCGCUAGCUAGCUUCGGGUAUCGGUACAGAGAGUGGGCUGGCGGAGGAGUGAGUGAGGAGUUGGGGCUGAGAGGAGGGGGUAGAGCCCUCGACCGUCGAAUAAGGGGACGCACGAUGGGGCAGAGGCCCACUGGCGAGGGAGCGGCGCAGAUGAGAGAUGGGGGUGGAGCCCGGCUGACGGGAGACAGACUGCGGUUAAGUCGGGAGGGAGAAGGCAGCACUGACUUGCUAGGGUGUGGGAAAGGAUCAGGUUGUAAUUUGGGAAGGUUGAGGUGCAGUCCAAGGAAGACGGCUCAAGAAAGUGGUGGAUCGGCUCAGGCCCCGGCCUAGGCUGUUGGAUGGCCGUUGUCGGAUGCCGACAGAACAGAGGGAGGAGAAGCAGCUUGAGGCAUCAUUAGAUGCACUGCUGAGUCAAGUGGCUGAUCUGAAGAAUUCGCUGGGGAGUUUCAUUUACAAGUUGGAGAAUGAAUAUGACCGGCUGACCUGGCCAUCUGUCCUGGACAGCUUUGCCUUGCUCUCUGGACAGUUGAACACUCUGAACAAGGUCUUGAAGCAUGAAAAGACACCACUGUUCCGUAACCAGGUCAUCAUCCCUCUGGUGUUGUCCCCAGACCGAGAUGAAGAUCUCAUGAGGCAGACUGAAGGACGGGUACCUGUUUUUAGCCAUGAGGUGGUCCCUGACCAUCUGAGAACCAAGCCUGACCCUGAGGUAGAAGAGCAAGAGAAGCAGCUGACAACAGAUGCUGCCCGCAUUGGUGCUGAUGCAGCUCAGAAGCAGAUCCAGAGCUUGAAUAAAAUGUGCUCAAACCUUCUGGAGAAAAUCAGCAAAGAGGAACGAGAAGCGGAGAGUGGAGGUCUCCGGCCGAACAAGCAGACCUUUAACCCAGCAGACACCAAUGCGUUAGUGGCAGCUGUUGCCUUUGGGAAGGGGCUGUCUAAUUGGAGGCCUUCAGGCAGCAGUGGUCCUGGCCAGCCGGGCCAGCCAGGAGCUGGGACAAUCCUCGCAGGAGCCUCAGGAUUACAGCAGGUGCAGAUGGCAGGAGCUCCGAGUCAGCAGCAGCCAAUGCUCAGUGGGGUGCAGAUGGCCCAAGCAGGUCAACCAGGGAAAAUGCCAAGUGGAAUAAAAACCAACAUCAAGUCGGCUUCCAUGCAUCCCUACCAGCGCUCAUGAGUCACUCCUCUGUGAAGCUUUCCAACAACCCAGUCUGUCUACAACCCAGUGCCACUCCCACCAGGUUCAAGCACCCUGAAGUGCCAAGGUUUGAAUCCAGUUCUUCUGUCUGGGAGCCAUAUGAUCUUUGGCAAGGAAUGUGCAUGCCUGGCGUCCUACGGCAUCUGGACCAUCAUAAACACGUUAAGUGUAGUUGCUGCUAUCAUUAUUAUUAUUAGGUUGACUUUGGAGAGAGAGUAUAAUGUAGCAUUUUGGUUAAAAGAGCAGUUUCUAGUGCCAGACUGCCUGGGUUCAAAUUCUAGCCGUGCCACCGACGAGCUGUGUGGCCUUAGGCAAGUUGAUUUACCUCUCUGUGCCUCAGUUUCCUUAUUUUGGGGGAUGCUGUGAAGUUUAAAUACAUUAGUAUAUACAAAGUGCUUAGAAUAGUGUGCCUGACAAUAGUAGAAGCUCAAAUAUUAACUGUCUUCAGGGUAGUGUCUAGAAGUCUGCUGUCGGUAGUUGUUGCUUAAAUCAAUGAUUGACCAGUCCCUCUAUGAGGAGGUAACUCUUCUUCCCUCUGCAGCUCAUCUGUGCAUACAGCUAUGCUCACGUGUCAGGAGAGACCCUCUGGGCACGUUUCAUCCCCCACAAUGUGCAGAACAGGCACUGGAACAUUUUUAUAUUGGUUUGCCUGAUGUGAUAAGUCAUUUUCAAAUCUAGUUGUGUGAACUUUCUCGCACUUAGUUGUCACCUACACUCUUCUAUUAAAGCCCAGUUUGAUCUCUUAAAUUGUGUGAUUUUGAUUUGAGAUCAGAUGACAAGCUCCCUCACUGGCAGUGUUCCUUUUCCUCCCUUCUAAACUGUGUCUGUUCCCUGUCCACACCAGCUGAAGACUCAGUUCCACAGUCUGCCUACAUCCCAUCUCUAAAGGAGGCCCUUCACCACUCAGAGGUCUCUCUGUGCAGCUGGGAUGUGUUCUCUCCUCUGUCUGUGCUUACUCAAUCCGGGCUCAGGUCUUCACGGGUGGCUGUGUGAUUCACUGGGCAUCACAAACCAGAGCUCCAUGCUUGCCUCUUCCUCACACUCACCACCAGUGCUUUAGGCCUUGUUUUGCCAUGGCAACGUCCUGGUUCUUGCCACUACUCUAAGCUAUCGGCAACACCUGCAGGUCAGGUGCUGUCUCACACCUCCAUACCUAACACAUGCUCUGCCCUCUCAGUAUGUCUGCCCUCUUUUUUUCCUGCUCCAAACCCCUGUUCACCUAGUGAACAAUUCAUCCUCCCAGUGGCACCUACUUCUGUAAAGUCUUUACCACCUCCUCCCCUGUACACUUGACCAUUCUUAAAUUACACCUGACCUGGACACUUAUCCAUUGUGUGACCUUAGGCAAGUUACUUCACUUCCAAGAACCUCAAUCUCUACCUCUGUAAAAUGGGAUUAUAGCACCAACCUCAGAAAGGUACCUUCCACCGAGCAUAUUUAAGAUUCAAUUUAAACCUUUAAAUAGCUCUUAAUUUUCUACAGGAUAAAGUCCAAGCUUCUUAGAAAAGCACACAAGGGCCUCCAGGCAUAUAGUUAGCACUGAAAUGCUAAUACUAUUCUUCUCCUACUCUCUCCUGAGCAGUCUCGUUUUUAUCACAUGGUAUAUUUGAUUGCAACAUAUUACAAUUAAACUAGCUUAACUGAAAAAGAGAGAGAGAGGGAGAGACCCAACUGGAUUUGGGUUAUGCGGAUGUGGAGUUGAAGGGUGGCCAGCUCCAGGUGGGUCAGGGGCUCCAGUGUCAUCUAGGCUCUCUGUCUCUGCGUUUCUCCACUCUACCGCAUAUAGCUCAUCCCAUGAAAGAACUCUGAUUGUUGCUGCUUGGAUUCUGUACCAUUAGGAGCAUUGGGGGAAGUGGAGAGAACACCAUGAUUAAAAGGCCAGUGGAGCAGGACAGGAGUUCCUUAAAGGAGAUGAAAGCAGGGGGAUGGGACAGUAUCUGUAUACGACCAGACCUACAGCUACUACAGUCCACUUUGUGUGGUUUCAUCUCUACAGACAAUCCGCAGAUAUUUUUCCCCCCGAACCCCAUCCUUUCUCCUAAGCUUACAGUACUGUGUUUCAGAUUGCCUGGGGAAUGUGCCAUCCUUCCUCAAACUCCGGAUGUCCCAAACUGCAUUCACUUCCUCCAUCCUGCUCCACCUGCAUUAUCCAGCGUGCCAACCUUGCUGUCAGUUCUGGGUCCUCUCUCUGCUCUAUCCCCUCUUCUUCCUUCUCACUCCGUUGCUCUAGGUUAGGCCCUCACUCUGUCACACCUGUGCCUCUGAGCUGGUCUCCCACCUGCUCUCCCUUCCUCUGCUUUCCUCUUGAUAAUCUCACUCUCACCAGGUUUUUCGUUAUCAAUAACAAUGGGGAUCAUACCAACCCCUUAAAAAUCUUCAGGGACAUCCCAGUACAAAUAAAACUCCUCAGUCUUUCAUUUAAAACACUUCAUGAUUUGGGGCCAACCUCCUUUUUAACCUAGCAUAUGAAGGCCUUUCACUCACCAUAUCCUUUAGCCAAACAGAAUCACUUGCAAUUCUCUACUCCCGUCCUGUGCUUCCCUCCAUUCAUCCCUUUGUCCACACUUUUUCCUCAGCUUGGAACAUCUAUGUUGCUUCCACCUCACUUGCUGUGUGACCUUGAGAAAAUCCUUCACCCUUUCUGAUUUUGUUUUUUUUUCCAUCUGUUAAGCAGUGAUCAUAGUACUUACCUUACAGGUAAGUACUUACAGGUAAGUACUUACAGGUAAGUAUUUACCUUACAGGACUGAACCAUAAGAGCAUAUGGAAAGCAGCUGGCCCUACACUUGCCAGAGAAAGUAUUGAACAGUAAGCUGCGUUUCCUCUUUUCCCCUUUUGGCCCUUCUCCCACAUCUUCCAGAUCUUGCUAACUCUCUUUCUUCCACCUUGAUAACCUCCCCUGGAUUGUCCCCUCACCAAAGCCUUCCCUUUUCUCUUUCCAGAGCUCUUCCUGCACAUUCUAUCGCAGCCCUCUCCCCCAAGCUGAGUUUCUUUACUUCAGUUCAGUGAACACUGAAUGAUACCCAUAAUGCGUUGGCAUUGGCUACCUACAAUGGAUCAGACCUUGCCCCUGACCUCUCAAGGGUCCAGGCAAUCCCCAAAUUCCAGAUGGUGUGAUGACUGUUUGCAUGCAGCCUCUCUCUUCUGCUGGCCGGAUAUCUUUCCUUCAGCCAAGGUCCCAGCCUUAGGCAGAGGACACUAGUGAGCUAAGGCCCAGGGACGUGCAGAAUGAUUAAUUGAUGAGCCCUUCACCCUCGUCUUCACUCCACUGUCCUCACGGACUCAGCCCUCUGCUCAGCUCCUCUGUGUGGAUACUGUGUAGAAAGCGCCCUUUGCCCUUUACAGGAUGGGGAAGGGAGAAGCUUGACACAGGCCCUGGGAGGCUGCUUCCCUUCCUAUCUGCCACUCCUGCUGUCUCUCAGCCUCGACCCUCAGUGCCUGUUGUUCUCAGCCAGUUCCCCUGUGUCUCCCAUGCCCUGUUCCCUCCACGGCUUCACCUGCUCCCUCCCUCACCCACUCAUGCACAUACAGGCAUACCUUUUCCCAUUUUUUCCUGCUUCUGUGAUCCCAUUUACCUUUAGUUUUUCUGCAGAAACAUAUAAAGCUGCAUAAUCGGGGAAACAGAGUUGUUAACGUUCACGCAGAUGGUGGUUUUCAGGCUGAACAUUGGAGACGGUAAAUCAGUAGUUUGUCUUCUGGGGAAAGAGGAUGGAGAAAGGCCCCUCAGAGAGCCGUGAGUAAGAUGUGAGUCAGAGAGAACGGGGCCAAGGGGACGUUGUCACAUCACUUCCCGUUAGUCAGGAAGGCGCCAGGUAUUUCAGGGGGAGUUUCAGCUGUUGGACUGCCUAUUAUUCCCUACCCACACGAACACCUGGCCUUUAUCCUUAUCAAGACAGUUCCUGGACCCCUUCAGCUUCUCCAGUUCAUCAGCCUGCCCCUGGUGUAGGUACCCUUCUGCGGACCCUCUUACCUCCAAGGCCUUCAUCCUAGCUUCUCUGCAGGUCCCAAAUGGUCCCAUUUCCUCCCAGUCCACUGACAAGGUUAUCCUUCUUUUCUAUGUAUUUCAGACUGGGAGGGGUUCUCUUAAGCCAAAGGCUAACCCGUCCAUGUGCGCUGGAUCUCACUGCCUUCCAUACAGCACAUAAACACGCUCAAGCCCCUUCCCAUUAAAAACAACCCUUAGAAUCAAUCUGGAGGUGAGAGCGAGGCACUGAUAUUUUUAAAACUUCCCAGGUGGUUCUAGUGUGUAGCCAGGGCUGAAAAAGAUAAACAAUUAAAAUCCAAACUUCUUACCAAGCGAGGCAUACAUGGCUCUUCAUAACUGACUCUUGCUGACAUUUCCCCCUUAGCUAUACGACCUUUGGGCUGGAGCCACACCAAACUACCCAGAGCUCCCUAAACCUGCCACAUCUCCUGCUUCUAUGCCUUCACACACAUGCUUCCCUCUGCCUGGAAUACGUUCCCCUGCCUUCUAGAAAGCGUCCUUUAAUGCUCAGCUUUGGUGUCAUUUCUUUGAAGGCUUCAAGAACUAAUCCCCACCUUGGGGUAAGGUGCCCCCCUUGGUGCUCUCUUAACUCUCUGGGUUUAUCUCUGUGGGAAUGCCCCCCACACGCUUCUGUAAUUGUUAAUUUAUACGUCUGUCUUCUCGUCUAGACUGUGAGUAUUUUGCAGUAACCCCAGGGCCAUGGAGAUACCAUUUGGUAGGACCUCGGGUGGUCUAUAGGUGGUCUAUAUCAGAUAUUUGAAGACGCUUUCUCCUAGGACUAGGACAGGAACUGAAGGAAGUGAGUCUUUGGGCAUGUUCAUUCAUGUAGUCAGUGGGCAUUUACUGAGGGAUUGCUGUGGUCAUUUACCCGCGUGGUCCAGGUGAGUAAUGGAUAGUUGAAGUUCUCUAUCUCUAACGGACCUCUGGAACUGUUUCAUCAUUUAUAAUAGUCGACUUUGUUCAUCUCUAGAUGGACACUUAGUCCAAAGCCCCUCAAUAGUGCUCUCUGAACAGUGCUUUGCACACAGUAAGCAUUUAGGAAAUGUUUGUUAAAUGAAUGCUUAUGAAUCUACAUACAAGUAUAUACCUUCUUGCUUCCCCCCUUGUCUAUGAUAUGUCAAGAUAGAAGCCAUGCUGAGCACUUUACCUGGGUCAUCUCCUUUAAUCUUCACAACAAUCAUAUGAGACAGGUACCGUUGUUCACAUUUUAUGGAGGUUCAGCCACUUACAUUAAGUCAUAUAGGUACUAAGUGGAAGAUUUAAAUUCAGGCCUUUGGAGUUAGGUGUGACCCCAAAGCCACUGAAGUAUACCUAACACAGUAAAUAUUUAUUGACUCAACAGAUAGUACCACCCCAAGGGAAGUAGAAAGUCUUUUGAAUUCUUAAUGUUUUCCCCACUUGACUCUGGGUCCCUUGACCUCUCUUCCACUUCACACAUUUCUCAUUCACUCUAAUAUUCCACAAACAUCGUGGAGGGUCAAGUGAGUCUGACAUUAGGCCAGAUGCUAGAGGUACAGAGACAACUAAAACAUAGUGAGGGGGCACGCAGAUAACUGCAUUGCAGGGAGAUUGUGGAAGCGAAGGCAGGGACUGAUUUAUUGCCUGGGAGAGCGGCUUGUAUCUUGUAUUGAGUUAGGAGACAAGGCUUGGAGGGGUGGGGGGAUAUGAAAGACGCUGAUAUCCUUGGGGAACAGUUGAAGCAUAGGACGUGGCCCAGGAGAAUAGCACUGGUAGAAUGGGAGGCUGAGGGCCAGAUCAGGUAGCCCGUCGUGUACCAUGCUAAGAAGUUUGAGCCUUUUGAAUAGUUGAAUUCUUUUGCCAUUUCCUUUCAAGCAUAGGUACUAAUGGGCUAGAUCAUAGCUGUACUUUGGCUCUGACCUCUUAACUCUGAGACUAAACUUCCACAUAGCUAGAUCCCACCACCGAGGAACACAUUAUUUCUUCCAAACCACCACCUCCUCUGAAUUCCACGUGUACAUCAUAUAAUCCUGUAUGCAGUUAUUAGCACUGUUUCAGGCGCUGCUGGAGAUACAGAUUUCAUUUCGCAGAAACCUAGUCCUCACCCCCAGUAGUUCAGUCUACUUGGUGAGUGUGUGGGUGAGGGAAGGGAGAGCGCACGGAGCCAGACCACACAGCUAAGUGUACAGAGAGGGCCCAGCUGUCUUGGGGAAAUCUCCAGUGUCUGCUUCUCCAAUCCCGUCAGUUUCCAAACCUUCUUAGGUCAGGGUGCUCUCUCACCUGGUCUCCCCGCCAGUACCCUCAUCUCACUGGAUGCCAGAGCAAAGUGAUUGGGCUAGGCAGUAAACCCCAUGCAGGGACGGCACCUGCCUCGUUCAUUGAUGUUCCACCAGCACUUAACCCCGUACGUGGUCGAAAAAUAUGAGAUGAAUAUUUAACAAUACAGGUCUGAUUGUAGCCUCCUCAACUCUUCAGUUUCUCCUCUGCUUCCAGAAGAAACCAAACCGCUCCAUGUGGCCUUCAAGACCACUACAUUCAGCCACAGCGGGCGUCGCUUCCCUCCUUUUCCUUCACUGCCUUGAAGGCCAGUGUAGCCAGUGAUUCACUAACUGUUGCUGCCCCAGGCUACUUGCAUUCGCCCACCUCCAGUCCACACAAUCCUUUCAACAACUCCUAACGCUAGGCUCAUCCAGGCUUAUGGGCUGGUAGGGAAGGCUUCCCCGCGCAGCCUCUCCCUCGGGCUGAGACCUCCCCGCUGCCCAAGUCCGCUCUCCGCACACACACAGGCUGCCUGCAGCCCACCCCUCCGGUCCCACCCUCUAGACAGGGAGCUCUUUGCGGGGAGGGCUGACCCUGGAACUUUUCCCAGGGUCCCAGGCCGGGUGGACCGGCCGCGAAAGAAGCUGUGUUGGUCUUGUUGGUGGAUAAACCCCCAGAGGGCCCAGAAUGAGGCCAUGCGCAGGCUGAACGUCAGGAAGGCGCAGGGUGCAACUGGGGCGGGCCGGGGCCAGGCCGCGCGAGCUGACGGAGAUGGGAGGCGAUGCGGCGGGAAGGGGUAGGGAGCAGGGGCUGGGCGUGCUUCCUGCCCGGGGCCCGG